rnacentral:rRNA from 1 species
AUUGAACGCUGGCGGCAGGCCUAACACAUGCAAGUCGAGCGAGCGGCGGACGGGUGAGUAAUGUAUGGGGACUGCCCGAUAGAGGGGGAGAACUACUGGAAACGGUAGCUAAUACCGCAUACGAUCGGAUAACCCAUAUGGGAUGAUCUAGUAGGUGAGGUAAUGGCGCACCUAGGCGACGAUCCCUAGCUGGGCUGAGAGGCUGAACAGCCACACUGGGACUGAGACACGGACCAGACUCCUACGGAGGCAGCAGUGGGGAAUAUUGCACAAUGGGCGCAAGCCUGAGGCAGCCAUGCCGCGUGUAUGAAGAAGGCCAUAGGGUUGUAAAGUACUUUCAGUCGGGAGGCGUUACCGACAGAAGAAGCACCGGCUAACUCCGUGCCAGCCGCCGCGGUAAUAC